rnacentral:rRNA from 1 species
AUACGAAGGUCCCAAGCGUUAUUCGGAAUCACUGGGCGUAAAGAGUACGUAGGCGGUUUGGUAAGUCAGGUGUGAAAUCCCGAAGCUCAACUUCGGAACUGCAUCCGAUACUGCCAGACUAGAGUAAUGGAGAGGCAGGUGGAAUUCUCGGUGUAGCAGUGAAAUGCGUGGAUAUCGAGAGGAAGACCAAUGGCGAAGGCAGCCUGCUGGACAUUUACUGACGCUGAGGUACGAAGGCUAGGGGAGCGAAAGGGAUUAGAAACCCCAGUAGUCC